GUGAUCACUUCGGCAGCACAUAUACUAAAAAUUGGAAUGAUACAGAGAAGAUUAGCAUGGUCCCUGUGCAAGGAUGACAUGCAAAUUCGAGAUGCAUUCCAUAUUUAA
rfam:Myotis brandtii contig280459, whole genome shotgun sequence.